UACGUAGGCAGCGAGCGUUGUUCGGAGUUACUGGCGUAAAGGGCGCGUAGGCGGCCUUCUAAGUCAGACGUGAAAUCCCUCGGCUCAACCGAGGAACUGCGUCUGAUACUGGAAGGCUUGAAUCCGGGAGAGGGAUGUGGAAUUCCAGGUGUAGCGGUGAAAUUCGUAGAUAUUCGGAAGAACACCAGUGGCGAAGGCGACUUACUGGACACAUAUUGACGCUGAGGUGCGAAAGCGUGGGGAGCAAACAGG
rnacentral:rRNA from 1 species